rnacentral:misc_RNA from 1 species
ACAAACUUGGUCAUUUAGAGGAAGUAAAAGUCGUAACAAGGUCUCCGUAGGUGAACCUGCGGAGGGAUCAUUAACGAACAAAAGACCGUCGGUCGUGGGAUGUGCGGGUCCAUCCUUCGGGCCCGGCACUCUCGCACCGGCCAAUCCACACACACCGUGAACCCUCGACUCGAGUCCCGUGUCCCUCUGGGGCGCAUCCGGGCUCGGGUGCAUUUUCACACACUCUUUGCAUGGACUGGGAAUGUAACGUGCUCCGGCACAAACACGAAACAACUUUCAACGACGGAUCUCUUGGCUCUCGCAUCGAUGAAGAACGCAGC